GGACGUUUCUGUUUGUCCUCCAAGGUCCUCAUAAACUAUGUAACCGAGUAGAGAGGAAUCAGAUAUACCCACUGAGCGGCGCUAUAGCCCAUGAAAAUGAUGUUUGUUAGAGAGCGCGCGGGAAAGAUCCAAGGUGACAGGAGAGCGAGGCACUUCACUGCUGCCACAGAUAAAGAACUGCAUCUGCCACCCCAUGAAAUUCAGUGUCAUCAGCCACCGUGAUUAAAAUUUGGCACCUUGGACCACAUUGUCUUCAUUUGGAAAUAUUUCAGCUGCAUUUGUGCCACUCGGAGUGGAGAAAGAGAUAAAGGAGGAGAAGGGGAAAAACACACCCUGUUGUGUGAAUCCUAGAAAGGCCUUGAACCCUGCCAUUCAUCCUAUUCACUUCAUCAGCUGAGUCUAAUUGCUAGAGAGGACAGGAGACCCAAGGCCUGAUUGUUCCUUAUCCUCUUUGGAGUCUUCUGAGGCAUGAAAAGCGAAAGGCCUGCUUUUGAUCUUUUUUUUCUCUUCUCUCUCCUCUCCUCUUCUGGUUUUCUUUCUCUGCUCUGUCAUCCCCUGCUAUCCUUUCCCUCCGAAUGACAUUCUCCUUUCACACCCUUGCCCUCUUCUCCAUCCACGCAAAAUAAUUAUCAAGCUCUGCUUCAUCAAAUAAUGCUGGAGAUAGGAGGUCACGACAGGGAGGGCCAGAGGUCUGGAGGGGCAGCCCUGAACUGUGGAGAAGCUCCUAGCUCAUCUUAGCGGCAUGCUCCUUAGCUCAGGGCACCUUUAUGUACCUUGACCCCAGUUUUCGUUUGCCUCUCUUAAUGAGACCCUCUUACACAGCCAACGUGGUCCUGGCCCUGCCCUGUUAGGGGGCUCCGUGGUUGGGAGGCCAAAGUACAAUAAGACACAGAGGCCACGCUAAGACAAGGGCGCAUCUGUGCUGUCUUAUUAAGGCCUGAAGAAGAGCUCAUGCUUCUCAAAGUCCCACAGGCUCAGAGACUAGAUCUAUUGACACCUACUUGUCCUCGGUGGUCAACGCCUUUCACUGGAGGGCCAGCCUACGCACACAAGUUCUUAUUAGAAGUAAUUUCAGGCAGCUUAUUUAGAGAGCCAAGUGCUUAACUUGCUUUAGGUGACCAUGCAGGCCACAGUAGAAGUGGGUGAAUUUGGCGCAAAAAUUCUUUAGACUCAAAAGAUGACAAAGGAUGUCAAAGGCCAACCCUGUCAGGGGAUGAAAAUAGUUCUUCAGAUGAAGAAUUGUGCACAGCAACCAAAGAGAAAGAAGAGAUAUAAAGGGUGUGGUGUUGCCUCUUUAUGUUGAGAGCAGCAAACGUGAUGACUCCCAGACGGGGAGACAUGGCAAACCCUAAUAAUACCAACCCAUACAAUGGCUCUGACAGCCCGGCUAUAAAGCAAUCAGGGUCCCAGGCAUUCCAAAUCUCUUUAACGCCCACCCUACAGCAGUCUGGAAGAUGGGUGGCUGACCUGAGAGCUGUCAAUCACGCUGCUGUACCUGCUGGAGCUUGGGCAGAGUAGAGCCGGGAGCAUGCGGUCCAUCAGAUCUGUUUUCACACUCCCCACACUAUCACUGCAAGCGUAACCAAAAAGACAAAAAACGCCCCACUGCCCUACUCUUAAUUAGGGAGUGUGGAUAAGACUGAGGUUUGUUUGGUUUUAAAUGGAGAAUGGGAGGGCAAAACAUACAGGGGAGCGCCGAAUCCCAUGGAGACAGAGAAUAACCUUUUCCCUUGAUUUUGGAAUAAGGCAUUGAUUUGUCAUGCUGUUUUAUACAGGCGAGAGCUCUCCCAGUGGUGCGCUACAAGCUUGGAAGGAGGCAAAGAGACAUCUAUGCAGAGAAAAGGAGAAAUGUUAAGGGUCUUCUCAUCUGAAACUCAACUGGCUGAAAAGCUUCUCGGCUACUUUUCUUUUUUCACCCAUCUACCUUUCGACCAAAGCAGGUCCCUAGCGGUGUCUCUCACAUGCUGUACGUCUGAUCAUGUGCAGCUGGAUGGAAGGUUCCACAUGUACUUGGCCUCACCCUGAGGAACUGCGGGUCGGGGUGUCAAGGUGCAGCAGACCAUCCAAUGCUUCACGACUCGUUCUGGCCUGUUUGGAAGCCGAGCUGUGCUGAUCUAAGAGUUUCAUCCAAAUUAUGUAUUUCCCAUGUGUGUGCUAUAGCACAUAAACUCAGUGUUUUUAGGGGGCUGGUGCGAUGUGUUUUCCAGGCCUUUGUGCACUGUGCAUAGAUAAAGUAUAUGGUUUUUGGUAGGAAUUAAAACAGACUACCAAACUAUUUAAUUAAAAAAGUUUAUAACCAAAACAAUAUACACUACUGUUCAAAAGUUUGGAGUUGGUAAGAUUGUUUUUUGAAAUAAGUCACAUUUAAUAUUGAGAAAC
ensembl:lncRNA